UUUUUUUUUUUCCCUUCUUCCUCCUCUUCUUCGACAUCUGAUGUUUAAAAUGGAGCGAGCAACUCCAGCGUAACUUAAAUAAGGCCCUACUUUUUUAUUUGGCUACUAACCACUAUUUUUAGUAGUCUAACAAAUUUCUUUCACUCCAGCAGAAGCCUCAAAACAAAGCAUCCAUGUUAGCAGCUAUGACAUAGGGGACUCACGCAUCAUUGAGCCAAACCUUUCUUUCCUACUUCCUAUCUGCAUGCACACAGGAAAGGGACCAAGAAGACAUGGCAUUAUCCCAUUUGUUCGCCAUGGAUGGGCACCCACGCCACCACCACCUCGCCCCUCCGUGUGCCUUCUCCCUCGCCACGGUGCCCCUCAAGCGCUGCCGCCACUCGAGCUCGUCAAUCUCCCGCCACAUGUCACAUCUAACCUUGAUAUCUGCCUAUCUGGCACCGCAGUCGCCCACUGCACCCGCCGCGCUGCAUCUUGACGUAAAUCGGCACCGUGAAGUGACGUUCUCACCUCACCUUUAUAGGACCGUCCCGCCUAGGAAUGGCAACGGGUAUGUACCCGAUGGGUACUGGCCACCCGUACUCGCACCCGCUAGGUCAAAACCCAUUCCAUCGGGUUACCCGCGAAAGCAGACGGGUAAGAAAUUCAUUCUGUACCCGCACCCGACGGGUAAUUCUUACCCGACGGGCAUUCCAUACCCGAAAAUAUACCAAAGUUCAACAGAAAUAUAAUAACUUUUAGCAAGUUAAAUAUCACAACUUCUAGGAAAUUAAACAUAAUAACUUCUAGCAAAUUAAUAGCGGCACUAGUAGCACACCAGCCGCUCGACACUUCCCACGUUCAGCCAAUCAGUUCAUGGGCUAUAUGGGCUAAAUUGCUUAGGUUGUUUACUCAUUUUGCGGGUAUUUCUUACCCACGGGUACGCGGGUAUGGGUACUACUAUUCCACACCCAUACCCGCCAUACCCGAUGGGUAAAGGAUUUCGCCUAAUAACGUACCCGCGGGUACAGAAUCCAUUCUAUACCCGCGUUCUUAUCGGGUAAAACCCGUCGGGUACUCGGGUUUCGGGUACCCAUUGCCAUUUUGAGUCCCGCCUUCCUCAGCACCAGCAGGUCCUAGCCAAGCGGCGAGCAGAUCCGGUCAGAUGAAGCUUGGCGCACGGGUCCUAGCCGGGUGGCGAGCUACGGUCCUAUCUCUGGUGACUCCUCUUCUUCUCCUCCCGGUCGACUAUCGUCCCUCGUUGGAGGUUCCGUACGACAGCGGGGUGGGAAACAACUGCAACAGCCAGAUGGAGGCUGGGGUGUUGGGCCAACCAAAAUGGGGUCUGGUGGGAGGAUUUUGGUGCCCCAACAAAUUUAGGGUCCAUAGUAGAUUUUUACCAUGGACAUCUAUAUUUAGAUAUUGGAGCUCAAGUAGGGGCUCUACUGGGGUUGCUUUAAUGACAUUGCAAGAUUUAGCCAUUUUAUCACCUACCCAUUUUUGUACAUAUAGAAACACAACAAGAGUCACUUCAACUCUAAUGUAACUUACCAAUACAGUACAUCCCAAAAAAUUGACUAGAGGAAUCUUUAUAGUCACGCACGAAAUUUGUAGUAACUUCCUUUUCUAAGCAUGCUACAUAGGAAGAAGAAAGAUACACACUUUGAAACCACUAUCCAACCAUCUAUUAAGAGCAUCUCCAACAGUUAUACAACUGGAAUUUGUCAUUUGUUGGAGUUUGUCAAGUACCAAAAUGUUUUGCCAAAUGAAAAAUAAGUUCAUCUCCAAGUGUUUGACAUUUUUGACUUGACAUUUCCCAAAAUAGUGGACCCAACUAUUUUUGUCCGCGAAUCUUUCAUCUUUGCGGGAAAUUUUCUCGUCGCUGCGAUCGAUCUCCUAGCCUCGCUCGCUGCAACAAAACGAGGCGGCGAUGGAUCUCCUAGCCUCGCGUCGCUGCAAGAAAAGGAGGUGGCGAUGGAUCUCCUUCGUCCCCGUGCGAAGAAAGGAGGCGGCGCGCAGAAAAAGGAGGCAGCGCGCGGGGGAACGAGAAUAGUCGCGCGCGAGGACUCAUAUCACGUGAAACUACCGUUACGUGGAGAGUACGGGCACGACAAGGAGUCUAAGAUUCUCGGGAUAUCAAAAUUGCCAAGGCAUUGUGUCUAUGCAAAAAUGCCAAGUUUGGUCCAUCAAAUGUCAAGUUUGCCAAAAUGUAUAAGUCAAAUGCAAAACUGUUGGAGAGCAAUUUUUAAAGUUUUUGGCAAAUUUUAAGAAUGCAAAGUCCAAUUACAUAAUUAUUGAAGAUGCUCUAACAUGUUCCAAACAGCCGCUGUUUAAAAUUAGCUAGCUAAAAGUUUGUCGGAUAUUAGUUAUUAGCUAGCUUAACUUUUAGUGUUAAUGGAUCCAAAUAUAACCUUAUACAUCCGUUCGGCACCGACUUCACUAGACUCACGAUUCCUGGCAGUUACUGAGGCCCAUGUUUAGAUGCAAAAUUUUCUAAAAGUUUGACACUGUAGCACUUUCGUUUAUAUUGACAAACAUUGUCUAACUAUAGACUAACUAGGCUAAAAAAAUUAGUAUUGUAAUUGAUAAGUAAACUGUAUAAUUAAUUAUUUUUAAUUAUAUUUAAUAUUUUAUAUACACGUCCAAAAAUUUGAUGUAAUAAAAAAUCUUAUAAAUUUUUAGAAUUUUGGGUGCAUCUAAACAAGCUCUGACAGGAUUCGGAGAGUCGACCGGAGUGUCCCGCAAGAGUACCGAUCGUCAUGGGGCGCAUGCAUGCAAAGGGACGAAAGCAAGGCUAUGGGGCUUCUUAGAACAACUCCAACACUACCCUAUAUGCACUUGGCAAAUCUUAAUUUUUAGCAAAACAUGGAAAAAGCUCCUCCAACACUACCCUAUAUGCACUUGGCAAAAUAGGAUGCUUGGCAAAAAGAGGGCCAACUGGCUCAAAUUUAGGAGCGUUGGGAGCGCUUGGCAUCCUGCCUACGCGGUGGGACCCACACAUUCAGCAUGCACGCAUGCCUUAAAUAGAUUGCAACUUUUGCAUAAAAGUCCCUCUGAUUUUUUCAGGAAUCACAAGAUAGUCCAAAUUUGCCAAAAAAUAGCUAACUGUUGGAGAAGUCUCUUUUUUUCACCUGGCAUUUGAGCUUUACACUUGGCAAAAUCCAAAAUUUGUCAAGUGAAGUUUAGGGUAGUGUUGGAGUUGCUCUUACAGCUGGCGGGUCAGUGGAGCUUUUUGGUAUUUUUUUUUUCUAAUUUUAGACACAGAUAUAUAUGGUAAGUGUUUUCUAAUUUUAGACACAGAUAUAUAUGAUAAGGCCAGUCUCAAUGCAUAGUUUCAUGGCACAGUUACCAAGACUAUAAACUAGGUAACCGAGCCAUAGGAGUUUUAUGGGGAUGAAACUCUUCUCUCAUCUGAUGAAACUCCUUCAUUUAAUGACCCUGCUAAGUCAGCAAUUUUGCUUAUAUGACACCUUAUUUAAUGUGCAUGACACUCUCAUAAAACAUGCAUUGAGACUGGCCUAAGUGGUCUGAGAUUGAAGAAAAACUUAGUGCGCUAUAGUGGUGUUAUAGCUGCUGAACACGUUUACUGCUAAGCUAUUUGUAUUUUUUAUCUAUCACAAGCUUUACCGCUAUUACACGCUAUAGCGCCGUUAAGUUGUAUUUGCUAUGACAACUUUCACCGUUAUUAUGCGCUAUAGCACCGCUAUGAUAAAUCUUCUCAAUCUAACUCUCAAAAACUCCAUCUUAGACUAGAUUAUCAUUUAUCAUUUGCAACUAAUUUAGUAUUUUGGACAAUUAAGCUUUCAUGAACCAUGUUGUAAUGUCAUCUUGGUAUUUAGUAAUGUUUUCUAGACUUACAAAAAUAUAUUUUUAUACAUCAAAAUUCAUAUUUACCAUAUUUUUUUAUCAAUUACUCUGGUUUUUUAUGUAUUUUUAAUAAAAACGCCAUCUGUCAUAGCGUCACUAUAGCUGCAUAGCUGCUUAAAAAAAGUUGCCGCUAUUUUUAAUAGUCCGUUAUUUUAAACUUUGGCUGAGACUUUUAUUUUUUAGAUAUAUUUUAUAAAUUUUAUUAUCGAUGUUUUUAUAUAAGACUACUAUAAAUUUUUAUGUUUUUUUGUUAGGAGAGGUUAUAGUAGAUCAAAAUUAAUGUAACACUUUUAUUUAGUCUCUUAAAUUUUUUUACUUGAGUUUGUUCGCUGAAUUGAAAAGUCAUGAUAGAAAUUAAUGGCAAGAGAAAAACAGGCUGGCAGGCGUACGACAGAUCGUUUGGUCGCUGGCUGUGCCUUCCGCAGGUAAAUCAGGUGAUGCGUGCAGCGUGCUACGGCCUUGUUUAGUUCUAAUAGUAUAAAGUAGACAAUAAAAUAUUUUUAUUUAUAUUUAAUAAAUAUUAUCUAAUUAAAUUAGACUCAGAAAAUUUGUCUCGCAAAUUAUAGAUAAAUUGUAUAAUUAUUUAUUAUUUUUAUUUAUAUUUAAUAUCCCACGUAUGCGCUGUAACUAGUGGCGAAGCUAGAGUAAAUUAGAGGGAGUGCACUUAGCUUUUGGAUACAUAAAUAUCUUCCACAGGGGUGCAUAUAUUGUAAAAUUUUAGGCUUAAUCACUGUUUUUAAAAUUUUUGGAGGUGUAUUUGCACCCCCUAAUAACCACGUAGCUUCGCCCCUGGGUGUAACAUUACGAAGAAUCUGAAGUUUUUUGUGAAAUUUUGUGCAAUUUUUUGUGACAUUUACGCAUAUCAAAAGUACGUACGUGCAUGCAUGCGUACGUAUGGAUCAUUAAUGGGUCAGAACGGUAGCGUGGUAGAAGUGACACCAGUAAUUCUUCGAUGUAUCCUCAUCCACACACCGGUCUCGAACGAGUAUGAUACAGUACCGAUGCACGGGACAGGACGGACGUUGUAUACGGAACAGCGAAACAAACAGGUGCACGUGCAACAGCAGCGGCGGUCUGGGUUGGGGUUGCGGGUGCCCACCCCAACGGACGGGCUACGGCGACAAGUACUGUGACAUACCAUGCGUAAAGGUACGGUACAGCUCCUCCCCCGUGGGCUCCAUGUGAUGUCGCCUCUGGUACUAGGCCUUGUUUAGUUCCGAAAAGAUUUCGGAUUUCGGUACUGUAGCACGUUCGUUUGUUUGUGACAAAUAUUAUCCAAUUAUAAACUAACUAGGAUCAAAAGAUUCGUCUCGCGAUUUCUAGCUAAACUGUGUGAUUAGUUUUUGCUUUCGUCUAUAUUUAAUGCUUGAGGCAUGUGCCACAAGAUUUGAUGUGACGAGAAAUUUUGAAAAGUUUUUGCUUUUUGGUGAACUAAACAAGGCCUAGUGUCGCGCCUGACACAUGGGAGCUGGUUUGGACGUGCGACGUGGCCUGCAUGCACGCAUGCCAGGUCGCCACGACUGGGCUGCGUGCAGCUUUGAAGGCAUGGAUGCGUGCGUGCCCGCAGCCGGGACGGCGGUCCUCCAUCGUCAGCACACCAAACUUUUUUGGGUGUGCCGAAGGAUCGAGGAAGGCUACGCGACGUGAUGACCCAACACUAGGGCCUUGUUUAGUUCCGAAAACUGAAAAGUUUUCAGAACUAUAGUACUUUCGUUUUUAUUUGACAAUAUUAUCCAAUUAUAGUGUAACUAGGCUUAAAAGAUUUAUCUCGUGAUUUACAGAUAAACUGUACAAUUAGUUUUUAUUUUCAUCUAUAUUUAAUACUCCAUGCAUGUGGUGUUGAAAUAUAAGGCAUUUUCAUAUUUAUUUUAAUCCAUAAAAAUGACGCAAUAAGAGGGAUAAUUACAACAUGAAUUAUUUGAGAAAAACAAUUCAUGACACAUAUUAAAAGGAUGGCUAUCAAUUUGCAGAAGCAAAAUAAAAAGACAUAACAUGCAACUAAUAUUAUUUUAUUUAUGUGAAUCAUCAUAGAUGUGAGCAAUGUAUCCUCAAUAACCGAAACAAAGAUGAGUACAGAAAUAUAUGGUACCAAUAAAAGAUUAUUCACAUGAUCAUCCAAGCAAAACAUGUAGGAUAAUAGCAAAAUGCUACCUAGGGACAUCAUGAUAUUAACAGUCAAAUUAACAAUAGGAUGAAGAAGAUUAUACCCUGCGGCAGAACCGCUCGCACCGAGAAAAGUCAUGGUGGUGCUUUGUCGUUGUAGUCGUCCCGCUCGAUGCAGUGUCGAAAAGGUUGCCGUGUAGUCACCGCAGAAUCACCAUCGAGUAGUCGUGUCGCCAACGACACUCCCCAAAAACGUAUUCGCCCGUCCUCACCCGAGCAGAUGAAGCGCACAACGGAGACGCGUUCCGGAGGCCUACUCUUCCAUCUCUGAUGCUCGCCGGAGAUGGAACGGAAAGGACUUGCGCAACUGGAUGUGGUUCUUCUUUCGUAAGAGAACCGAGAGAGUUCGGGUCCUUUUAUAGGCAAGCAGAAGGAGGAAGGCCAGGCGCGGAACAGAAAGGUCGUGACUCUUUGCGGUGAAGGAGACAGAAACGGACAGGAGUGACCAGAAACUCCUCUCAAUCAAGACCAUGAAGGCAGGAGUUACGGGAGUUACCAGAAACUCUUCUCAAUCAAAACCAUGAAGGCAGGAGUUACGGGAGUUACCAGAAACUCCUCUCAAUGAAAACCAUGAAGGCAGGAGUUACGGGAGUUACCAGAAACUCCUCUCAAUCAAAACCAUGAAGGAAUGAGAUGCAAAGUUAAAGACCUCGCCUGCCCGCCCGUCCGCUCGUUCGCUGCCUGCCCUGCGGCGCCACACCACGCCGUCUCUCGGUUAAAUUCCCAUACGGUACAAAAUAAAUUAAUGCACACGUAAGGACCAUAGAGUUUAAUAGAUAUUAUUAAAUUAAUGGGCUAGGCCCAUAAUAUCCAACAAUCCCCACCAAACUCUAGGGUACACAAUUUGAAGUUCUCAAAUACCACAUUCUUUUUAUAUACCAGUGUUUCGAUGGAGACUGUUAAGUUGAACAUCCAUCUAGAAGACUAGCUACACUCAGCCACAACUGAACAAUGGACGGAACCUUGAAUUGACAGUUUUGUGUGAGAUGAGUUUCGCAAAGCCUCUUAAUUGAUACUAGGCUGCCAAGUACCUUCCCUCUGUUUGAAGCAUAUAAGUCACACUUCGGGGCCUUUUCAUGAGCAUCUAGAGAUUACCCACAUCUCAUAGAUUGUGACUAGCAAUCGAGCUCAUAUAGGUGUGUUCCUUAUAGGAUGUCCUAUAGGACAACAUCCCCGCUUUACCAAGCCGCUCGGAUCACAUUAAGAACUUAAUCAACCUGCCUUACAGUACUGGAGAGACGGUGCAUCUCCAACGAGCUGAGUUAUAGUCUAAGGGGUCUCUCCCUCAGUCAGUCAACAGCUUGUUUCACCAUCCUAAUUCAUGGGAUCUCCAAUCACAUAGGACAGGUUACUACUGCUGCUGGCUCUAUGUGGGUCUCAAACCCAGCUCCCUCGACGCGCCUUCUAUCACAUUUCGUGACAGACCCUUAGUGAAUUGAUCUGCCAGAUUGUUUGAUGUAUGGACAUAGUCCAAGCUAAUUACUCCGGAGUUUCUCAAUUUUCUGACAGUCUUCAAACGUCGUUUCACAUGCUUUGUGGACUUCAUGUUAUCCUUAGAACUAUUUACCUUUGUAAUCACAGUUCAUAGAAAUUGCCGGGAUUGGUUUCUCAACAAUCGGCAAGUCCAUCAGGAGAUCUCGAAGCCACUCAGCCUCAGCACUAGCAGUAUCCAAUGCGGUCAGUUCUGCUUCCAUUGUAGACUUCGUUAAGAUAGUCUGCUUGCAAGACUUCCAAGAAACAGCACCACCUCCAAAUAGGAACACAUAUCCACUCGUGGCAUAAAGCUGAUCCGCAUCAGAAAUCCAAUUAGCAUCACAGUAACCCUCUAGUACCCUUGGGUACCCAGAAAAGUAAAUGCCAUAACUCAUUGUCCCUUUCAAGUAGUGCAACACUCUUUCAAGAGCGUUCCAGUGAGUAUCUCCCGGAUUUGACACAAACCGGCUCAAUUUGCUCACAGCAAAUGAGAUAUCAGGCCUGGUUGCGCUAGCUAGGUACAUGAGAGAGCCAAUUAUCUGUGAAUAUCUCAGUUGGUCUCUUGCAAUUCUGCGAUUCUUUCUCAAAUGAACGUUUGGAUCAUAUGGGGUAGGAGCAGGCGUACACUCACUGUACCCAAAUCGGUUCAAGACCUUUUCCACAUAGUGGGACUGCAUAUGAGUUACCCCACCAUUUCCUUCCUCCCGUGAAAGCUUAAUGUUAAGAAUGACAUCAGCCUCAUCCAAGUCUUUCAUCUCAAAAUUGUUUGACAAAAAUUCUUUUACUUCUUUGAUCACAUUUAAAUUGUUGCCAAAUAUUAAUAUAUCAUCCACAUAUAAGCUCAGUAUCACACCAUCACCACCACCAAACCGAUAGUAUACACAUUUAUCAGCUUCAUUCACAGCAAAGCCGGCUGAUGUUAAAGUUUUGUCAAACUUCUCAUGCCACUGCUUUGGGGCUUGCUUUAGGCCAUACAAGGACUUCAAUAACUUACAAACCUUACCCUCCUGACCAUUUGCAAUGAACCCAUCAGGCUGAUCCAUGUAGAUCUCUUCCUCAAGCUCUCCAUUUAGGAAAGCUGUCUUAACAUCCAUCUGAUGAAUGAGAAAACCAUGUGAGGCAGCCAGGGAUAGUAACACACGAAUAGUCGUCAGUCGGGCAACAGGUGAGUAAGUGUAAAAAAAAUCUUCACCUUCCUUCUAGGUAUAGCCCUUAGCAACAAGCCUGGCCUUGUACUUCUCAAUUGUACCAUCAGGCCUCAGCUUCUUUUUAAACACCCAUUUGCAGCCCACAGGCUUGCAACCAAAUGGACGGUCAACCACUUCCCACGUCCCAUUGGACAUAAUAGAAUCCAUCUAACUUUGCACUGCCUCUUUCCACAUAUCAGAAUCAGGAGAGGAAUAUGCCUCAGAAAUGGUUGUGGGUGUCAUCCACGAGGUAUAUAAUAAAGUCUUCUCCAAAGGAUUUAGCAACUCUUUGCCUCUUACUUCUUCGAGUGACAGUAUUAUCAGCCUCCUCAGAAUUUUGCUCAAGCUCAUGGGUGUUGUCAUCAGCGUGUAUAUUUGAAUCAUGAGAUUCAGGAACAGAGUCAUGACUAGACACGCUAGGUGCACCUAUUUUCAUAGGAAAUUCAUUCUCAAAGAACGUGGCAUCUCUAGACUCCAUGACAGUCCCAACAGCCAUAUCAGGAGCAUUAGAGUUUAUUAUUAAAAACCGAUAGCCCACACUAUGAAUGGCAUAGCCGAGGAAAACACAAUCUACAGUUUUCGGUCCAAGCUUUCGCUUUUUGUUUAUUGGCACGUUCACUUUGGCCAAACAACCCCAAACGCGAAGAUAAGAAAUAUUUAAUCUCUUUUUCUCCCAUUCCUCAAAUGGAGUAAUUUAUUUGUUCUUCAUGGGCACUCUAUUUAGGACAUGAUUCGCAGUUAGAAUUGCCUCACCCCACCAUUCCUUAGAUAAACCAGCAGUCUCCAACAUGGCAUUCACCAAAUCAGUUAGAGUGCGGUUCUUUCUCUCAGCAAUCUCAUUGGAUUGAGGUGAAUAUGGAGGUGUCCUCUCAUGGAUUAUACCGUGAACCGCGCAGAACUCAGAAAAUUCAGUAGAGAAAUAUUCUCUCCCACGAUCGGACCUCAACCGUUUGAUUUUCUUCUCAAGUUGAUUCUCAACGUCAGCUUUAAAGGUUUUAAAAUAUUGCAACGCCUCAUCUUUUGUUUUAUUUAGGUACACAUAACAGUGUCGAGUGCAAUCAUCUAUGAACGUUAUGAAAUAUCUUUUACCACCUUUUGUUAAAAUUACGUUCAUUUCACAAAUAUCGGAAUGGAUGAGUUCAAGUGGUGCCAACUCUCUCGCCACAGCAGCCUUGUGAGGCUUGCGAGGUUGUUUUGCCUCAACGCAUGUAUGGCACUUUGAAUUUUUGGCAACAUCAAAUUUAGGAAUUAAAUUUAAAUUAGCUAAGCGAGACAUGCAGCCAAAAUUAAUAUGACAUAAUCGAGAAUGCCAAACAUUCAUCUCAACAUUAACGUUAUUAACCACAUUGUUCACGGCAAGAGGUAAAGUGUCAUCUAGCGACAAGCGGAACAAGCCUCCGCUUUUAUAGCCUUUUCCAACAAAGGUUCCAUACUUUGACAUUACACAUUUAUUAGACUCAAACACAAGUUUAAAGCCAUCACGGCAUAGCAAAGAGCCACUAAUCAGAUUUUUCCUUAUGGAGGGGACAUGAUGCACGUUCUUGAGUUGCACGGUCUUCCCCGAAGUAAGCUUCAGAUCCACCGUACCAACACCAUGAACACCAGCACGCGCACCAUUCCCCAUCAGCAAGGCUCCACUCCUCCCGACCUGGUAACAGGAAAACAAGGACUUAUCAGCACACACAUGUAUAUUUGCACCUGUAUCAACCCACCAAUCAGGUGAGGAACAAACUGAAAAUGCAGAUAAAUUGCCAUACCCAGAAGCACCUGCAUCAGUCUCAAUGGUGUUAGCUGUCUUCGCCUUUGGUGGGGGCUUCCAUUUAGCCUCAGGACACUCUCUAGAGAAGUGCCCAUUGUUCCCACAGGUGAAGCAAGUCAUCUUCGCCUUGUCAAAUCCCAUCUUCUUGUUAUUACCUUUCUUGAAGAAAGUAGUGGAUUUCUGCUUAAGCUCCUGUUGGGGCUUCUUCCUCUGUGGUUUAGGACGAAACUUUUGCACCACAUGUGCACUAGUAGUCGCCUCACCGUUUCCGCCCUUUCCCUUCCCCUUGACAUCCUUUGCUCUAGCCUUGUCCUCGACAUCAAGACUGCCAACAAGUUCAGCAAUACUAAACUGCUGCCUCUUGUGCUUCAAGGUAGUAGCAAAAUCAGUCCAGGAAUGUGGCAGCUUAGCAAUUAUGCAGCCUGCCACAAACCUGUCAGGGAGAAGAUAUCCGUACAGCUCUUAUUUUUUCACCAGUCCCUGUACCUCAUGAGCCUGUUCGACUACAGAACGGUUAUCAACCAUCUUGUAGUCAUGGAACUGCUCCAUGAUAUACAGCUCAGAACCAGCGUCAGAAAGACCGUAUCGGGCCUCAAGAGCCUCCCACACAGCUCUGCCCGACGGGAGUGGUAUGUAGGCAUCAACCAGCGAAUCAUGGAUGAUGCUCAACAGUGCAACCUUGCACAUAGUCUCAGCAUGUCCCCAGGCCUCCUCAUCCUGCUCGGAUCUCACACCGGCAGGCUGCUCCUGGAGCACAUGACCACAGCGCAUGGCUGACAACCACAGAAGGGCUUCCUCACGCCACCUCUUGUAGUGAGUGCCCUCAAAUGGCGUAGGCUUUAGCAUGCCCGCAAAGCCAACGGAUGAAAAUGGCCUGAAAUUUACGUUUUUGGAUUGUUGAAAUAUAAGGCAUUUUCAUAUUUAUUUUAAUCCAUAAAAAUGACGCAAUAAAAGGGAUAAUUACGACAUGAAUUAUUUGAGAAAAACAAUUCAUGACACAUAUUAAAAGGAUGGCUAUCAAUUUGCAGAAGCAAAAUAAGAAGACAGAACAUGCAACUAAUAUUAUUUUAUUUAUGUGAAUCAUCGUAGAUGUGAGCAAUGUGUCCUCAAUAACCGAAACAAAGAUGAGUACAGAAAUAUAUGGUACCAAUAAAAGAUUAUUCACAUGAUCAUCCAAGCAAAACAUGUAGGAUAAUAGCAAAAUGCUACCUAGGAACAUCAUGAUAUUAACAGUCAAAUUAACAAUAGGAUGAAGGAGAUUAUACCCUGUGGCAGAACCGCUCGCACCGAGAAAAGUCAUGAUGGUGGUGCUUUGUCGUUGUAGUCGUCCCGCUUGAUGCAGUGUCGAAAAGGUUGCCGUGUAGUCGCCGCAGAAUCACCAGCGAGUAGUCGUGUCGCCAACGACACUCCCCAAAAACGUAAUCGCCCGUCCUCACCCGAGCAGAUGAAGCGCACGACAGAGACGCGUUCCGGAGGCCUACUCUUCCAUCUCUGAUGCUCGCCAGAGAUGGAACGGAAAGGACUUGGGCAACUGAAUGUGGUUCUUCCUUCGUAAGAGAACCGAGAGAGUGCGGGUCCUUUUGUAGGCAAGCAGAAGGAGGAAGGCCAGGCGCGGAACAGAAAGGUCGUGACUCUUUGCGGUGAAGGAGACAGAAACGGACAGGAGUUACCAGAAACUCCUCUCAAUCAAGACCAUGAAGGCAGGAGUUACGGGAGUUACCAGAACCAUGAAGGCAGGAGUUACGGGAGUUACCAGAAAUUCCUCUCAAUGAAAACCAUGAAGGCAGGCGUUACGGGAGUUACCAGAAACUCCUCUCAAUCAAAACCAUGAAGGAAUGAGAUGCAAAGUUAAAGGCCUCACCUGCCCGCCCGUCCGCUCGUUCGCUGCCUGCCCUGCAGCGCCACGCCACGCCGUCUCUCGGUUAAAUUCCCAUACGGUACAAAAUAAAUUAAUGCACACGUAAGGACUAUAGAGUUUAAUAGAUAUUAUUAAAUUAAUGGGCUAGGCCCAUAAUAUCCAAGAUGUGGCGGAAGAUUCGAUGUGACGGGGAAUCUUGAAAAGAUUUUGGUUUUUGGGGUGAACUAAACAAGGCCUAGGUAGGGUUUCUAAAAAAUUUUACAAAAUUUUUCAGAUUCCUCGUCACAUCAAAUCUUUAGAUGUAUGCAUGAAGUAUUAGAUAUAAACGAAAAUAAAAACUAAUUACACAGUUUGGUCGGAAUUGACGAGACGAAUCUUUUAAGCCUAGUUAGUUUAUAAUUGGAUAAUAUUUGCCAAAUAUAAACGAAAUUGUUAUUAUUCACAUUUUGCAAAAUAUUUUGCAAGUAAACCAGUAGCUGUGCGGGGAAGCCGGCAGCUAGCUAGCUAGCAUUGGACCUGUGUGCUUGCUGUAGAAGACUGUAGCACGUACGUACAACACCGUAUAAUGUGCGAGCUGGUGUCCACGAGAUGCUGAUGCAUGCACGAAUUGAGAAGCGAAUCUCUCGCGUGCCGGCACACGCAACUCCGUAUAUGCAUGUACUACGUCUCGUCCCUGUCGAGUGCCGAUUCAAAUGGACGCGAGCCGGCGAGGUGUACCAGCGUAGGUACAACAACACUGUACCGACCGACACACAGCGCGCUUGCACGGCCACCAUGCAUUCGUAUCACAUAGUACAACCGCUACCUGUCAGUCUCACAAAUCGACAUACGGAGUACUACUACCAUGGCCUUGUUUUAGGUGGUGAAAAUAUUUUGUUUUUUCUACUUGAUAAUUAUUAUCUAAUCAUAGACUAACAAAACUUAAAAAAUUCGUCUUGUAAAUUACAAGUAAACUAUGUAAUUAGUUUUUCUUUUUAUCUAUAUUUAAUGCUCUAUAUAUGUGCCACAAAAUUCGAUGUGACGAAAAAUCUUGAAAAACUUUGUAAAAUAUUUCAUGAACUAAACACGAUCUCUGCGAAUACUGAGAUUGUUUAGAACCACGAUAUAAAUUUAGUAUCUAGGUUUAACACGAAUCAAAAUAGGAAACUCUCAAAUUCAGUUACAAGCACGCCGCCCACUAACAGAGUGGCCAUUUUUCGUGUCGGCUGAAAAUCGUCAGGAAUGAACCGAAAACUGUCAGGAAAUAUAUUUCUGACGGGCAGCCGUCAGGAAUCCGCCGUCAGCAACGUCUUGACAGGAAUACCAGUUUAUUCCUGACGGCCAACCGUUAAGGAUGUAUUCCUGACGGUAACUCCUGGCGGCCGUUGAUUUACUGGGAAAUCUUUAACACCGUCGGUCUGCCCCGAUAGGAAAUCCCGUCAGGAAUCCUUGGUCGACAGGAUUCAACAUCAGAAUUCCUGUUGUAUAGCCGUCAGGAAAAAUUUAAAAAGCAACCAGAUCAAUUCUCAUUUCCUGUCAUGUUGCCGUGAGGAAUAAAGAUGACAGGAAUGUCCUAUUUUUUUCCUGACCGAAGUGGUGACAGGAAUACAAUCAUAUGCACAUCCAUCCAUUUUGAUUCUAGAAAAAAUAAAAUAUAUAAUUUGACACCACAGAGACAGAUUUAGACACAUUCUAAUCCAACUUCCAAACAGGGGUUCACAGGUCACCACAUUUGAAACUGAUUCACUAAGUCCAAAUCUAAAUUGCUCCUCGUUCAAUUCUUUCGAAGGGAUCCUUUUCCUUGUUCGGGAGUCUCCGCCCUUCUUCCACUCCGUCCCGAAGACUAACUAAGACCAAUUCUUUUCAACCAAUCACUCUUUUAUUCCAUCCUUUUUUUUACUCUGAAGAACCCCUAUUGAAAUCGAACUAAUCCAAAUCCAAUAGGAAUCAAAUCAAGAUAUACAAUUGAUAACAAUAUGCUGCAUAGAACUUGAUAUGGAAUCCAGUUCCAUAUAGAAGGGAAUUCUAUAUAUCGGAUUAGAUAAUGAAUCUAACUUAGGAAUAAAAAAAAAUCCCAUAUAC
rnacentral:lncRNA from 1 species